rnacentral:rRNA from 1 species
AUUGAACGCUGGCGGCAUGCCUUACACAUGCAAGUCGAACGGCAGCACGGGUGCUUGCCCCUGGUGGCGAGUGGCGAACGGGUGAGUAAUACAUCGGAACAUGUCCUGUAGUGGGGGAUAGCCCGGCGAAAGCCGGAUUAAUACCGCAUACGAUCUACGGAUGACAGCGGGGGACCUUCGGGCCUCGCGCUAUAGGGUUGGCCGAUGGCUGAUUAGCUAGUUGGUGGGGUAAAGGCCUACCAAGGCGACGAUCAGUAGCUGGUCUGAGAGGACGACCAGCCACACUGAGACUGAGACACGGCCCAGACUCCUACGGGAGGCAGCAGUGGGGAAUUUUGGUCAAUGGGCGAAAGCCUGAUCCAGCAAUGCCGCGUGUGUGAAGAAGGCCUUCGGGUUGUAAAGCACUUUUGUCCGGAAAGAAAUCCUUGGCCCUAAUACGGUCGGGGGAUGACGGUACCGGAAGAAUAAGCACCGGCGAACUACGU